rnacentral:rRNA from 1 species
CAGUCGCCACGGGAAUACGAAGGGGGCUAGCGUUGCUCGGAAUGACUGGGCGUAAAGGGCGCGCAGGCGGUUUGUACAGUUGGAUGUGAAAUUCCUGGGCUUAACCUGGGGGCUGCAUUCAAUGCGUGCAGGCUUGAGUGUGGAAGAGGGUUGUGGAAUUCCCAGUGUAGAGGUGAAAUUCGUAGAUAUUGGGAAGAACACCGGUGGCGAAGGCGGCAAGCUGGUCCAUAACUGACGCUGAGGCGCGAAAGCGUGGGGAGCAAACAGGAUUAGAGACCCCCGUAGUCCCUGUCUCUUAUAC